CAGGAAUCCACAUGAAUUGAUUAGGAAGUAUGGCCUUAUGUGCUGCAGGCAGUGCUUUCGCAGCAAUGCCAAGGAAAUUGGCUUCAUUAAGUAUCGCUAAAAGAGCUGAUGUCUCCACUCAAUCAAUUUUAUGUUCUGGCACUAGGAUGUUUUAAGGAAGUUAUGUUUGAAGAAACUUGAGACUUGGUUUUUUGUAUCUAAUUAAUUAUCAAACAUUAUUUGUUGAAUGAAAUAUACUUUUAUAUAAAUGGUUUUGGACUACUAGGUCCUCCA